CCCUAUGGGGUGCAGCCUGUCCGGCACAGCUACGGAAUCACACUUUCCGGAGGUGAGCGGCGGCGUUGCGAAAUUGCCCGGUCGCUGGCUGUCGACCCGAAAUUCAUCCUGCUCGACGAACCCUUCGCGGGCAUCGAUCCCAUCGCGGUGGAAGAUAUCCAGCAAAUCGUGAAACGGCUGAAGGAACGGAACAUCGGAGUGCUGAUCACCGACCAUAACGUUCACGGGACCCUCUCCAUCACCGACCGCUCUUACCUGCUCUUCGAAGGAUCGAUCCUCAGGGCCGGGUCAAGCCAGGAACUGGCAGGCGAGCCGCAUGUGAGGAAAGUCUACCUCGGGCAGAAUUUUGAGUUGAGGUAGGGGAUGGGGAACAAUAGAACAGUAGAACAUUAGAACGAAGAACAGGCGGGAGAGC
rnacentral:rRNA from 1 species